rnacentral:rRNA from 1 species
GAUGAACGCUGGCGGCGUGCCUAAUACAUGCAAGUCGAACGAGAAAGUCCCUUCGGGGAUGAGUAAAGUGGCGAACGGGUGCGUAACACGUGAGCAAUCUGCCUCGAAGCCGGGGAUAACCUUCCUAACGGAGGGCUAAUACCGGAUGUGUUUACCGGGUGGCAUCGCCUGGUGAAUAAGAUGGCGUGCUGAACGCUAUCACUUCGAGAUGAGCUCGCGGCCUAUUAGCUAGUUGGUGAGGUAAUGGCUCACCAAGGCGACGAUGGGUAGCCGGCCUGAGAGGGUGACCGGCCACAUUGGGACUGAGAUACGGCCCAGACUCCUACGGGAGGCUG